rnacentral:rRNA from 1 species
UUCUUGGAUGAGUUGCGAACGGGUGAGUAACGCGUAGGUAACCUGCCUGGUAGCGGGGGAUAACUAUUGGAAACGAUAGCUAAUACCGCAUAAAAUGGAUUAUCGCAUGAUAAUCCAUUGAAAGGUGCAAAUGCAUCACUACCAGAUGGACCUGCGUUGUAUUAGCUAGUUGGUGGGGUAACGGCUCACCAAGGCGACGAUACACAGCCGACCUGAGAGGGUGAUCGGCCACACUGGGACUGAGACACGGCCCAGACUCCUACGGGAGGCAGCAGUAGGGAAUCUUCGGCAAUGGACGGAAGUCUGACCGAGCAACGCCGCGUGAGUGAAGAAGGUUUUCGGAUCGUAAAGCUCUGUUGUAAGAGAAGAACGAGUGUGAGAGUGGAAUGUUCACACUGUGACGGUAUCUUACCAGAAAGGGACGGCUAACUACGUGCCAGCAGCCGCGGUAAUACGUAGGUCCCGAGCGUUGUCCGGAUUUAUUGGGCGUAAAGCGAGCGCAGGCGGUUAGAUAAGUCUGAAGUUAAAGGCUGUGGCUUAACCAUAGUACGCUUUGGAAACUGUUUAACUUGAGUGCAAGAGGGGAGAGUGGAAUUCCAUGUGUAGCGGUGAAAUGCGUAGAUAUAUGGAGGAACACCGGUGGC